GCUGGGCAAGCAGCCACAUGCCUGUAAUCCCAGCAGCUUGGGAGGCUGAAACAGGAGGAUUGUGAGUUCAAAGACAGCCUCUGCAAUUGCGAGACACUAAGCAAUUCAUUGAGACCCUGUCUCUC
rnacentral:sRNA from 1 species